GACGAACCGAGCGAACGUUGUUCGGAAUCACUGGGCUUAAAGGGCGCGUAGGCGGCCUGCUAAGUCGAACGUGAAAUCCCCGGGCUCAACCCGGGAACUGCGUCCGAUACUGGCAGGCUUGAAUUCGGGAGAGGGAUGCGGAAUUCCAGGUGUAGCGGUGAAAUGCGUAGAUAUCUGGAGGAACACCGGUGGCGAAGGCGGCAUCCUGGACCGAAAUUGACGCUGAGGCGCGAAAGCCAGGGGAGCAAACGGG
rnacentral:rRNA from 1 species